rnacentral:rRNA from 1 species
CCUACGGGAGGCUGCAGUGGGGAAUAUUGGGCAAUGGGCGCAAGCCUGACCCAGCAACGCCGCGUGAAGGAAGAAGGCUUUCUGGUUGUAAACUUCUUUUUUCAGGGACGCAGCACGUGCCGGUACCUGACGAAUAAGCCACGGCUAACUACGUGCCAGCAGCCGCGGGAAUACGUAGGGGGCAAGCGUUAUCCGGAUUUACUGGGUGUAAAGGGCGUGUAGGCGGGACUGCAAGGCAGAUGUGAAAACCACGGGCUCAACCUGUGGCCUGCAUUUGAAACUGUAGUUCUUGAGUACGGGAGAGGCAGACGGAAUUCCUAGUGUAGCGGUGAAAUGCGUAGAUAUUAGGAGGAACACCAGUGGCGAAGGCGGUCUGCUGGACAGCAACUGACGCUGAGGCGCGAAAGCGUGGGGAGCAAACAGGAUUAGAUACCCCAGUAGUC